UAAACAUAGACAGUUCACAUACCCUACUGUUCGCCCGGGAACUACGAGCAUCAGCUUAAAACCCAAAGGACUUGGCGGUGCUUUAAACCCACCUAGAGGAGCCUGUUCUAGAACCGAUAAUCCCCGUUCAACCUCACCCUUCCUUGUUCUAUCCCGCCUAUAUACCACCGUCGUCAGUUUACCCUGUGAAGGUCAAACAGUAAGCACAAUCGGCAUAGCCCAAAACGUCAGGUCGAGGUGUAGCGUAUGGAAGGGGAAGAAAUGGGCUACAUUCCCUAAUAUUAGGGUACACGGACGACAUACUGAAACGCAUGUCUGAAGGAGGAUUUAGCAGUAAGCAGGAA
rnacentral:rRNA from 1 species